rnacentral:rRNA from 1 species
GGAGUAACACGUGAGCAACCUGCCCUUCGAGGGGGACAACAGCGGGAAACUGCUGCUAAUACCGCAUAAUGUAUCUUGGAGGCAUCUCUGGGAUACCAAAGAUUUUUAUCGCCGAAGGAUGGGCUCGCGUCUGAUUAGAUAGUUGGUGGGGCAACGGCCCACCAAGUCUGCGAUCAGUAGCCGGACUGAGAGGUUGAACGGCCACAUUGGGACUGAGAUACGGCCCAGACUCCUACGGGAGGCAGCAGUGGGGAAUAUUGGGCAAUGGGGGCAACCCUGACCCAGCAACGCCGCGUGGAGGAAGAAGGCUUUCGGGUUGUAAACUCCUUUGACGAGGGACGAUGAUGACGGUACCUCGAAAACAAGCCACGGCUAACUACGUGCCAGCAGCUGC